UACGUAGGGGGCAAGCGUUGUCCGGAAUCAUUGGGCGUAAGGAGCGUGUAGGCGGCCCGAUAAGUCCGCUGUGAAAGUCCAGGGCUCAACCCUGGAAUGCCGGUGGAUACUGUCGGGCUCGAAUCCGGAAGAGGUGAGUGGAAUUCCUGGUGUAGCGGUGAAAUGCGCAGAUAUCAGGAAGAACACCAAUGGCGAAGGCAGCUCUCUGGGACGGUACUGACGCUGAGACGCGAAAGCGUGGGGAGCGAACAGG
rnacentral:rRNA from 1 species